UACGUAGGGUGCGAGCGUUGUCCGGAAUUAUUGGGCGUAAAGAGCUCGUAGGCGGUGUGUCGCGUCGGCCGUGAAAACCUGCAGCUUAACUGUGGGUCUGCGGUGGAUACGGGGCAGGCUGGAGGCAGGUAGGGGAGAACGGAAUUCCCGGUGUAGCGGUGAAAUGCGCAGAUAUCGGGAGGAACACCGGUGGCGAAGGCGGUUCUCUGGGCCUGUACUGACGCUGAGGAGCGAAAAGCGUGGGGGAGCGAACAGG
rnacentral:rRNA from 1 species